rnacentral:lncRNA from 1 species
AAGGUUACAAUCUGAUAGAUUUUAGUUCACUCUCCAUUCACCUUAGCCUGCCACUAGGCAGACAACAGGAAUUCUGUCAGCAUAGUUUCAGGAUGUACUUUCUAAGAGCCCCCCACCCUACACUCGAAAACACAAACGCACACAAUUUUAUCAGGGAGACCGGAGCUGCCCAGAGAGGCCUUUACAGUCAAAAGGAAAAGCAGCCAAAGCAAUGGGCUUUGCUUCUUUGGGAGAUUGACUUGACCUUGGCCUCUUGUUUACAAGGUUAAGUUAAAGUAAAUGCAGUAGAUCACAUCAUGUCAUAAAAUGAAUUUUUAAGAAUUAAAAGCACGGGGAGCCAAAGAGGAGACAACAGCAACAAAAUUUGAGAAGUUUUAGCUGGAAAAGUGGAAGAGUGGUAAAAGAUGUAGUAGACUAACAAAACUGAAUCUUAAGGCAGAAAUGAAGUAAAUCAAUAACCAAACCCAUGUAUACUGCACUGUCACCAAAAGACUCAUAACUGCCAGCUCCCGGUUCCUCUUGAAGUGAAGUGAGGAAAGGGGGAAGUACUAUAAGGAGGAUUGGUUGCAAAUCUGUUUAAUAAGAGGCAAUCAGAUCCCCCAGAUUCCCUUCUCGGCUCCAUGUAGUCAAGCAAACAAACCUCCUCACUUACCUGGGCAAAAUACUACAAACUUCCUCUCUGCAGAUGGUGAUAUGGCAGGUCUCUAGAGGGUAGGGGGAUUAAGUGAACAUUUGUAUAUUGGAUGCUGAGGACCCCAAAUUUCUUCACCAACUUGGCUCCCAGAUUCCAGUCAUGAAGCUUUCAACUUCCAAGGAAGAGAUUAGAAGAUCCUUCUAUGUGGAGUCUGAUCAACUCAAGAGGAAGGAUCUGAAGACACUGACAUGGAAGGUUCCCCAACUAUAAGCCCCAACAAAUCACUCUACAGGGAAGUUGACAGCUGACAACCCCCCACCCAUUCACUCAGAGUUUCCCAUAAGCAUUUUGAGGCCCUAUUCUUAAAUAUGAGCAGACAACAAAGGAUGAUCAGACAUGUGAGGGAAGCUACUAUUAUGUGAGACAUUUAGAGCACUUAGAAUUGAAAACAGGAGAGUAUAAAUGGGAAAAAAAAAAAAAAAAAAAAAAAAAAACCUUGAUAAAAAGGAUUGGAAGAGAAAGUUAAGGAAAUGUUCUAUAAGGCAGAGCAAAAGGCAGAGAGGACCAGUUCAGGAAGUUCAAAAUCCAAACAAUAAGGGCUCCAGAAAGCAAGAUGAGGGGGAAAAAAUGAGGAAAAUCAUCAAUGGAAUAAACUAAGAAAUAUUUCCAGAAUUAAAGUACAUGAGUUAAUUAAUUAAAUCGGUUCCCCAAGUACCCACCACAGUGGAUAAAAAGAGAUCUAUACCAAAGCAUGUGAUCAGGAAAUUUGAGCACACACUAACCAAAGAGAAGACCUUCGAGCUUCUAGAGAGAACACAAAACAGAACAAAUACAAAGGACUAAAAAUCAAAAUGGCAUCCAUUAUUUAACAACACUGGAACCCAGAGUGCAAUGGAACAAGGCCUUCAAACAUCCUGAAGAAAAAAAAAUAUUUGCUAAAUGAAUUAAUAAUUUGGAAGUCUUUUAAAAAUAACUCUGUAUAUCAUUUUAAAACCA